rnacentral:rRNA from 1 species
CAACUCGCCUGCAUGAAGUCGGAAUUGCUAGUAAUCGCAGAUCAGCAUGCUGUGGUGAAUACGUUCCCGGGCCUUGUACACCACCGCCCGUCACACCAUGGGAGUCGGUAACACCCAAAGUUGGUAGUCUAACCGCAAGGAGGACGCCGCCUAAGGUGGGAUUGAUGACUGGGGUGAAGUCGUAACAAGGUACC